CAAGUCUGAUUAUCUGUACAUCACUUCUGAAAGGAUCUGAAAGUACUGAUCUGAAUUUCACCAAAGAUGCUACUACAGCAGAAAAAAGGAUGUGGAUGAUCGGAGCAGUGCUGAUAGUGGAUGCCUUUCUGCUUGUGUUGCCUUUUCUGCUUAAUCAAUGCAGGACUGAGUGACAGCUGCACCUCCAGUGUCUCAGUUUAAUGCCUGUUUAAAUGUCAAUGGACACUUUUUAUUAUUAAAAAAAACGAUCUUUUUUUUUUCUCUGACCUUCAUACAGUAACAACUGUAGCAUCACACAAGAGCACGAUCAAUACUGUUUCCACACAGAGAAUCGUGCUCAUUGUUAUUGUGAUCUUACAGUAGCUUUAUUAAUAUAAUGGUUUCUUUGAGUGAAAAAGCUGUAUUUCUGUACAAAGCCAGUUUCUACAAUGAGAUUGGUGUAACAAAGUAGUUGUAUUCAGUGUAACUCAUUUACAACAUAAGUGAAAAUAUUGUUUCCUCUGCAGAAAUUGUUUACUUUCUUUAUACCAUACCAAGUAAUGAAAACACCAAAAAUCAAAGUAAUGUUAAACAGAUCCAAACCUUUUUCUUGAAU